rnacentral:lncRNA from 1 species
AUAUUAAUUUUUACCGUCCUCUGUCAUAAUAUGGUGUAAAGAGAUCUGGAUUUCCUAGACAUCUUGCACAUCCCAAGUCUGCGGGUGAGUGCCAGAGACCGUCAGAGCUGGAAGGAGGCCCGCGGGCCGGUCUGGUUCUCCUGCCUUCAGGAAGGGAUCUGAGAAAAGGGCACGGAUGUUCUCCCCCCGACAUGCAGAACAACUGAAAGAGGCCAGAAGCCAGAGCACUGUACCUCCUCUGAGGUCCAAAUCCGAGGCUGCAGUGACACAACAGGAGGAAGGAAGCAGAGAGUCAUUCCCCGGAGUCAGGCGGGGCUCGUCCCACACUAACUGGAGUUCUUUCCCGCAUUGUUGCAGCAAUAGCUAACCAUUACACUUGGCAAUGUAGGGAGGUAUCACUAGGGGAAGGCUAGUUGCCAAGAAAGUCCACAAAGUAGAAUUUUUCUUGGUAAAA